GGUUCGGAUUUUUUUCGAAUUUUUGGGUUCGAAUUCCUUUGGUUUUUUUUGGGUUUUUGGGUUCGGAUUGUUUUCUGGGUUUCGAAUUUGAUUGGUUCGAUUUUUUUUGGUUUUUUCUGUUUAAAUUUCUGGGUUUCUGGGUUCGGAUUUUUUCAGAAUUUUUUAGGUUCGAAUUCCUUUGGUUUUUUCUGGGUUUUUUGUUUCUAGUUUUUUUGUUAGUUUUUCCUGGGUUUAUUAGGUUCUAGAUUAAAACGUAACAAUGGUUUUUUCUUUGUUUAAUGUUCUGGGUUUAUUAGUUUCCAGGUUAUUGGUUCGAAUUUUUUUCUGAUUUUUGGGGUUUUAAUUUAAUUGAUGCAGGUAGUAUUACAACUACAGCAAUUGCUCAUAGACGAAGGAUUCAAGAUUCAAGGAUUUGGUGUUUUGUUGUUCAUUGUUGCGUUUUUAUUUAUAUAAUUUUUUUAUAAAUUGUAAAAUAACAAUUUAUUUAAUAUAAUAUAUUCAUGUAUAUUAUGGUGUUCA